rnacentral:rRNA from 1 species
AUACGUAGGGUGCGAGCGUUGUCCGGAAUUACUGGGCGUAAAGAGCUCGUAGGUGGUUUGUCGCGUCGUCUGUGAAAUUCCGGGGCUUAACUCCGGGCGUGCAGGCGAUACGGGCAUAACUUGAGUACUGUAGGGGAGACUGGAAUUCCUGGUGUAGCGGUGAAAUGCGCAGAUAUCAGGAGGAACACCGGUGGCGAAGGCGGGUCGCUGGGCAGUAACGGACGCUGAGGAGCGAAAGCAUGGGUAGCGAACAGGAGUAGAUACCCUGGUAGUCCAUGCCGUAAACGGUGGGCGCUAGGUGUAGGGGUCUUCCACGACUUCUGUGCCGUAGCUAACGCAUUAAGCGCCCCGCCUGGGGAGUACGGCCGCAAGGCUAAAACUCAAAGGAAUUGACGGGG